CGUAGGGAGCAAGCGUUGUCCGGAAUCAUUGGGCGUAAAGCGCGCGUAGGCGGCCCUGUAAGUCCGCUCUGAAAGUCAAAGGCUCAACCUUUGAAAGCGGGUGGAUACUGCAGGGCUAGAGUCCGGAAGAGGCGAGUGGAAUUCCUGGUGUAGCGGUGGAAUGCGCAGAUAUCAGGAGGAACACCAACGGCGAAGGCAGCUCGCUGGGACGGUACUGACGCUGAGGCGCGAAAGCGUGGGGAGCAAACAGGAUUAGAUACCCUGGUAGUCCACGCUGUAAACGAUGGGCAUUAGGUGUGGGAGGUGUCGACUCCUCCCGUGCCGGCGCUAACGCAUUAAAUGCCCCGCCUGGGGAGUACGGCCGCAAGGCUA
rnacentral:rRNA from 1 species